rnacentral:rRNA from 1 species
UGGCGGACGGGUGAGUAUCGCGUAGGAACGUGUCGUGAGGUGGGGGACAACCCUGGGAAACUGGGGCUAAUACCGCAUAGGGACUGAGGUCCAAAGCCGUGAGGCGCCUUAUGAGCGGCCUGCGUCCGAUUAGGUAGUUGGUGGGGUAAAGGCCUACCAAGCCUGCGAUCGGUAGCUGGUCUGAGAGGACGAUCAGCCACACUGGGACUGAGACACGGCCCAG